UUUUAUUUUUUAUUUUUCCUUUUUUCAAUUAGCGGAGGAAAAGAAACCAACAGGGAUUGCCUCAGUAGCGGCGAGUGAAGCGGCAAGAGCUCAGAUUUGAAAUCGUGCUUUGCGGCACGAGUUGUAGAUUGCAGGUUGGAGUCUGUGUGGAAGGCGGUGUCCAAGUCCCUUGGAACAGGGCGCCCAGGAGGGUGAGAGCCCCGUGGGAUGCCGGCGGAAGCAGUGAGGCCCUUCUGACGAGUCGAGUUGUUUGGGAAUGCAGCUCCAAGCGGGUGGUAAAUUCCAUCUAAGGCUAAAUACUGGCGAGAGACCGAUAGCGAACAAGUACUGUGAAGGAAAGAUGAAAAGCACUUUGAAAAGAGAGUGAAACAGCACGUGAAAUUGUUGAAAGGGAAGGGUAUUGCGCCCGACAUGGGGAUUGCGCACCGCUGCCUCUCGUGGGCGGCGCUCUGGGCUUUCCCUGGGCCAGCAUCGGUUCUUGCUGCAGGAGAAGGGGUUCUGGAACGUGGCUCUUCGGAGUGUUAUAGCCAGGGCCAGAUGCUGCGUGCGGGGACCGAGGACUGCGGCCGUGUAGGUCACGGAUGCUGGCAGAACGGCGCAACACCGCCCGUCUGAAAACCCCGGACCAAAAGGUUAAUAGA
rnacentral:rRNA from 1 species